rnacentral:rRNA from 1 species
AGAGUUUGAUUCUGGCUCAGAACGAACGCUGGCGGCAUGCCUAACACAUGCAAGUCGAACGUGAUCCGGGCUUCGGCCUGGUGAAAGUGGCAGACGGGUGAGUAACGCGUGGGAACCUGCCCUGUGGUAGGGAAUAACCGUGGGAAACUGCGGCUAAUACCCUAUGAGUCCUUCGGGAGAAAGAUUUAUCGCCAUAGGAGGGGCCCGCGUCGGAUUAGGUAGUUGGUGGGGUAACGGCCUACCAAGCCUUCGAUCCGUAGCUGGUCUGAGAGGAUGAUCAGCCACACUGGGACUGAGAUACGGCCCAGACUCCUACGGGAGGCAGCAGUGGGGAAUAUUGGACAAUGGGGGCAACCCUGAUCCGGCAAUGCCGCGUGGAUGAUGAAGGCCUUCGGGUUGUAAAGUCCUUUCGGCGGGGAAGAUGAUGACGGUACCCGCAGAAGAAGCCCCGGCUAACUUCGUGCCAGCAGCCGCGGUAAUACGAAGGGGGCUAGCGUUGUUCGGAAUUACUGGGCGUAAAGGGCGCGUAGGCUGUGCUGUAAGUCAGGCGUGAAAGCCCCGGGCUCAACCUGGGAAUUGCGCUUGAUACUGCGGCGCUGGAAGGUGGGAGAGGAUGGCGGNNUUCCCAGUGUAGAGGUGAAAUUCGUAGAUAUUGGGAAGAACACCGGUGGCGAAGGCGGCCAUCUGGCCCACAUUUGACGCUG